UCGACCUUGGCGGAAUUUGAACUCAGAACGUAACAGCAGACAAAAUACCACUAAGCAUUUCACCCAGUGUGCUAACGUUUCUGCCAGCUCACCGCCUUGACAUUUCUUGUCAACAUUGACAUUUCUUGUCAACAUUGACGUUUCUCGUCAACAUUGACAUUUCUUGUCAACAUAUCAUCCUGUGGCUCUGUACUUUUCUAAUUCAAGUGAAAUAAAAUGCCCCUUCUCCAAAGAGUUUGUGCAACCAUAGACAAACUGAUUAUGUAGUCCUAGGUACACUAUGACUGAAUAAAAGACAGGAUGGUCACAGCUGGAACAUCUCUGAUCAUAGGUCUGCUGGAUCAGGACUAACCUGGGGCUAAACAACAAGUAGGACACAUUAGAUAAUGUAGUCCUAGAUACACUAUGCCUGAAUAAAAGACAGGAUGGUCACAGCUGGAAAAUCUUCGAUCAUAGGUCUGCUGGAUCAGGACUGACCUGGGGCUAAACAACAACAACAACAAGGGAGGGCACAUU